rnacentral:rRNA from 1 species
UACGUAGGGGGCAAGCGUUGUCCGGAAUCAUUGGGCGUAAAGAGCGUGUAGGCGGCUUGGUAAGUCCGCUGUGAAAGUCCAGGGCUCAACCCUGGAAAGCCGGUGGAAACUGUCAAGCUUGAGUCCGGAAGAGGCGAGUGGAAUUCCUGGUGUAGCGGUGAAAUGCGCAGAUAUCAGGAGGAACACCAAUGGCGAAGGCAGCUCGCUGGGACGGUACUGACGCUGAGACGCGAAAGCGUGGGGAGCAAGCAGG